UACUUUGAAAACAUGAAGGUAUAUUUUAGAUAUCACUGUUUUGUUACAAUCGAUCCUAAUCGUGCAUCUAAUACUUAAAUUUCAUAUUCACAAAGGCAAUUAUUUAAAGCCCACCGCUUAUUUCAGAGAGCAAAUUUAUGUUCUCAGGUGAGUAUCCAAUUGUUAGAAACUACUUCCAAUAUUUAAUUACCAAUUGUGUUUUCUACUAGAAACAUGGGGUGCACUGGGAAACUGAGAAAUACUUCCCAGCAGCUACUCUAGCUGCCCUGGAGGGCCAAUCCAGAAUCACGACCCACACUGCUCCCGGGAAACUGAGAGAAAUACUUCCCAGCAGCUACUCUAGCUGCCCUGGAGGGACGAUCCAGAAUCACGACCCAUGCUGCUCCUUCAGCUCUGUGACUGUAUCAACAGUGUCCCAUUUUCUUUUCUUUUUUAUUUUUGUUGAGAUGGGGUCUCUCUCCGUCACCCAGGCUGGAGUGCGGUGGUGCACUGCAGGAGAAACCCACAGUGCUUCAUGAGCAUAUCUGGGCUCACUGCAGCCUCCACCUCCUGGGCUCAAGUGAUCCUCCCAACUGAGCCUCCUGAGUAGCUGGGAGUACAGGUGCACGCCACUGCGCCCGGCUAAUUUUUUAAAUUUGAGUAGAAGAUGAGGUCUCACUAUGUUGCCAAGGCAGUCUCAAACGACUGAGCUCAGGUGAUUCUCCCACCUCAGCCUCCCAAAGUGCUGGGAUUAUAGGCAUGAGCCAAAUCCCAAAUAAUUUCUAAUAAAAGUAAAAUGACAGCUUGGAUUUGGUCUACAAUAAACACCUCUUCUGCUUUCGUCACAAACGUGUAGCCCUUCUCCAGUGAGGGUCAGCCAGGCAUGUUAAUUCACAGGUGUGUGACACAGGCUGGCUCUUAGCCCCGCUGUGUCAGGGAGCAGGAUCUGCCCAACAAGACGCUGAGGCCACACAGCCCUCGGGAGAGCCUAGCCCCAUCAUGACACCUUCUGCUGAAGCUCCUUAGGUUCCAAUCAUUUCACUGUUCAGUGAGCCCUCUCUAGCCUCCGUGUCUUCCUCGGUGGCAAGAAGGAGGCCAACAGAGCACCCAGGACACAGGAUCACAGAGAAGGCUCUUCCAGCCACAAGUGAAGGCACCGCAGGGAAAAAUCCAUAUGCUCUGUGAGCACACGCAGGUGGAUGACCUAGAGAGCCAGGCCAAGGAGGGUCCACAAACAGGCCUUGCACACGUUCUGGGGUGGCGCAAACCAGUACAACCCUGUCUGAUAACUGCCUGGCAAGAUGUAUCAAGCGCCAUAGACAGUAUUUAGUUUCUUUAAUUCAAAAAUCCUACUUCUGAAACUUUAACCUAAGGAAACGAACCAUAAGAAAUUCCAGCCGGACGCAAUGGCUCACACCUGUCAUCCCAGCACUUUGGGAGUCGAGACAGGUGGAUCACUUGAGUCCAGGAGUUAGAAACCAGCCUGGGCAACAUAGCGAAAACCCAUCUCUACAGGGGGAAAAAAAAAACACAACGUAGCUGGGGCUGGGCGCAGUGGCUUACGACUGUCAUCCAGGCACUUUGGGAGGCUGAGGUGAGUGGAUCACCUGAGGUCAGGAGUUCAACACCAGCCUGGCCAACAUGGUGAAACCCUGUCUCUACUAAAAAUACAAAAAUUAGCUGGGCGUGGUACCACGCGCCUGUAAGCCCAGCUACUAGGGAGGCUAACGCAGGAGAAUCGCUUAAACAUGGCGGGCGGAGGUUGCAGUGGGCUGAGAUCGCGCCACUUCACUCCUGCCUGGGCAACGAAGAGUGAAACUCCAUCUCAAAACAAACAAACAAACAAACAAACAAACAAAAGCACUCUAGGUAUAAAAGGAACUUCCUCUGCCUGCAAGACCCCCCAUCUCCUUCCCAUGAAGUCCUUAACUUCUGUUCAACCCAAACGCCCAGCGCGUCCCUUCCACUGCGCUGCCCGAUGCACCUCUUCCCGCCACGCCUUCAGUGUUGUGGUCAUUUGUGCCUGCGCACCCAGGGCUGCAGGUACCUUCCUCCUGUGUGCUUCCAGGACGGUUAUUCAGGAUGCUGAGACGAGCCGCCAGCUCACACAGAACUGGGGUGUGACCUCAGCACCUGCUGCCUGUGUUCCUGAGGCUGUCCGCCAAGGCGCUCAGGAAACGCACAUGCCUCCUGAGCCUCAUAUGCACACCUCGUGGACGGCAGCCUGCAGGACCACUGGCAAGUUUUGUUGCCAAAAUCCCUCUUCGAGGAAAAAAAGUCAAUUGUUGACAAUUAGAUAUUAUGAUCACAUAACUCACUUCAAUCAGUCAUCUAAAAACAAACGGCUGAUACCACUGAGUCUCAAGGAAGCAGCCACAGGGGCCACAUCAGGCUCAUCCCACUUGGAAACCGCCCCUGAAGACAGCAGCCCCGAGCGCCACAGCUGACCCUGACAGAGGAGAGGCCUCCGGGGCAGGGGCUCCACCUUGACGCAUUCACACUUCACAGUGGAAAGGGGCCUUCUCCACAAGAAGCUGUGUGAAAAUGUUAGCAACUGCUGCCGGGCGCGGUGGCUCACGCCUGUCAUCCCAGCACUUCGGGAGGCUGAGGCGGGUGCAUCACCUGAGGUCGGGAGUCUGAGACAAGCCUGACCAACAUGCAGAAACCCCAUCUUUACUAAAAAUACAAAAAAUCAGCCAGGUGUGGUGACGCAUGCCUGUAAUCCCAGCUACUCGGGAAGCUAAGGCAACAGAAUGGCUUGAACCCGGGAGGCGGAGGUUGCGGUGAGCUGAGAUCGCGCCACUGCACUCCAGGCUGGGCAACAAGAGCGAAAUUCCGUCUCAAAAAAAGAAAAAAAAAAUGUUAGCAACUGCUUUUUUUCUAGUUUUCUAGUUCUAGUUAGCAACCGUGAAGUAACUGUACCUUCACAUGUAGUUGUAAGAAAUGGCACAGAGCAGGCUGGGCGCAGUGGCUCACACCUGUAAUCCCAGCACUUUGUGGGGACCGAGGCAGGCAGAUGAUGAGGUCAGGAGUUCGAGACCAGCCUGACCAACAUACUGAAACCCCAUCUCUACUAAAAACAAACAAAAUUAGCUGGGUGUGGUGGCACGCGCCUGUAAUCCCAGCUACUCAGGAGGCUGAGGCAGGAGAAUCGCUUGAACCCGGGAGGUGGAGGUUGCAGUGAGCAGAGAUCGAGCCACUGCACUCCAUCCUGGGUGACAGAGCCAGACCCCAUCUCAAAAAAAAAUAAAUAAAUAAAAAUAAAUGACGCAGAGCAAUACCUUGUCCCCCUGCUUCCAGGGGUUCCAUCUCACAAAACUAUGAACAGUAUCACAGCCAGGCUCUCCCACCACGACGGUCCACCAAGCUCCCCGGGGUCAUCCCAUGACACACGCGCAGUGUGUGCCCACCGCAGCUGAGGCAAUCCAACCACAGGCUCCCUCCGGCUGUCUCCUUCCCCCAUCCUUAACCCCUAGCAACCACGAAUCUGUGUUCCAUCUCUUUAAUUUUUGUCUUUAGAGAAUGCUGUAUAAAAAAAAAAUCAUACGGCAUGUGAUCUUUCAGCUCGGCCUUUUUUCACUCCGUAUAAUUCCUUCUGGGUUCACCCGCGUUAUCAGUGAGCGGGGCCUUUUUUCCACUCCGUGUAAUUCCUUCUGGGUUCACCCGCGUUAUCAGUGAGCGGAGUCUUUUUUCCACUCUGUGUAAUUCCUUCUGGGUUCACCCGCCUUACCAGUGAGCAGGGUCUUUUUUCACUCCGUGUAAUUCCUUCCAGGUUCACCCGCGUUAUCAGUGAGCGGAGCCUUUUUUCACUCCGUAUAAUUCCUUCCAGGUUCAUUCGAAGCAAACUAUAGUUCAACCCAAAACAGAAUAAACAUAAAACAAUCACUUGGCCGGGCGUGGUGGCUCACGCCUAUAAUCCCAGCACUUUGGGAGGCCGAGGUGGGCAGACCACAACGUCAGGAGAUCGAGAUCAUCCUAGCUCACAUGGUGAAACUCCGUCUCUACUAAAAACACAAAAAAUUAGCCGGGCAUGGUUGCGGGCACCUUUAGUCCCAGUUACUCGGGAGGCUGAGGCAGGAGAACUGCUUGAACCCACGAGGUGGAGUUUGCAAUGAGCCGAGAUCGUGGCAUUGCACUCCAACUUCGGCAACAAGAGCGAAGCUCCAUCU
rnacentral:lncRNA from 1 species